AGGAUCCAAGCGCGUCAGGAAGUCGGGAGUGUGAAAAUAAUAUAUCUCCAACAACAACCCAACCAAUUGUAGCUAAAGAAACUGUUAAUAUAGCAACUGAAAUAAUGAAUGGCGAAAAAGAAAUGCAGAAGAAAAAGGGAAAGAGCACUGCAUUGACUAAAGUAACCCAGGAUUUGGCGCCUGUGAGAGAGCAAAUUGCUGAAAGACGCAAUAGAACGUUGGUUGGGCAAUUUGGUCUCUGCGAAAAUGGAGGAGAUAGUUCCUCACAUGCGAGAAGACGCUCAAUGGGAGAUCCAAUGCCUUAUGCGCCGUUUAAAACAAAAAUCAAACAGAUAUCGUGAUUCGCAAUUACAAUCACCUCAAAACGACUUACUUCAGAAUACAAUGAGUGGGAUUUUUGAAGAUGAAGAUUUUAAUUUUUGUAAGUAAUGCACAUUUAUAGUAUGUAUAUAAUUUAUCAAAUUAAAUAAGUAAAUAAUAAAAAAUAUUUUUUUCAGGACCGAUUAAUAUAUAUAAUGGAAAAGUUUGAAUGAAAUGUGACUGAAAUAAAAUUUUAAGGCUGGCUUUUUUGAAAUACAAAUAAUGUAGAUAUUUUUAUAUAAUGUAUAUACAUAUGUAUAUUACAUUUCAUAAUGGUAAAUGAAAAGCUUUUUAAAAUUACAGAAUUAUGGCUGCCAAUCAACUCUUCCUUCCAUAUUAAAAUAGGCCAUAUGUAUAUUCUUGCCGAAUAGUUUCUGGCCUACCCCUCCUCGGAUUGUUGCUAUUAACAGAAGCUUGAAAAUAUCUUUCAG